AUUGAACGCUGGCGGCAGGCCUAACACAUGCAAGUCGAACGGUAACAGGAAACAGCUUGCUGUUUCGCUGACGAGUGGCGGACGGGUGAGUAAUGUCUGGGAAACUGCCUGAUGGAGGGGGAUAACUACUGGAAACGGUAGCUAAUACCGCAUAACGUCGCAAGACCAAAGAGGGGGACCCUCGGGCCUCUUGCCAUCGGAUGUGCCCAGAUGGGAUUAGCUUGUUGGUGGGGUAACGGCUCACCAAGGCGACGAUCCCUAGCUGGUCUGAGAGGAUGACCAGCCACACUGGAACUGGGACACGGUCCAGACUCCUACGGGAGGCAGCAGUGGGGAAUAUUGCACAAUGGGCGCAAGCCUGAUGCAGCCAUGCCGCGUGUAUGAAGAAGGCCUUCGGGUUGUAAAGUACUUUCAGCGGGGAGGAAGGGAGUAAAGUUAAUACCUUUGCUCAUUGACGUUACCCGCAGAAGAAGCACCGGCUAACUCCGUG
rnacentral:rRNA from 1 species